ACGAGAAUAUUCCGCAAUGGGCGAAAGCCUGACGGAGCGACGCCGCGUGAUGGAUGAAGUGCCUUGGUACGUAAACAUCUUUUAUCGGGGACGAAGUUUAUUGACGGUACCCGAUGAAUAAGGGGCUCCUAACUCUGUGCCAGCAGGAGCGGUAAUACAGAGGCCCCAAGCAUUACCCGGAAUCACUGGGCGUAAAGGGUGUCUAGGCGGUCAUAUUAGUCUCUCGUUAAAUGUCCGGGCUCAACCUGGUCACCGCGAGGGAAACGGUAUGACUCGAGGGCGUAAGAGGUGCACGGAACUCAUGGUGGAGGGGUGAAAUCCGUUGAUAUCAUGGGGAACACCAAAGGCGAAGGCAGUGCACUGGUACGUUCCUGACGCUCAAACACGAAAGCCAGGGUAGCGAACGGGAUUAGAUACCCCGGUAGUCC
rnacentral:rRNA from 1 species